CAAAUCCUUAAUUUUUGAACCACAAAAAUCCCCAUCUCUCUCUCUCGUCUCUCUCUCUCAUCUCUCUCUCUCGACUGUAAGCAAGGCAGACGACGGCGUCGAGCCAUAUCAUCGAUCAAUCCUUCCUGUAUCUCUCUCUCUCUUCCUCCCUGUAUCUCUCUCGACGGUACAACACUUCAACCCCAGAACCAAAAACCCUACCCUCCUACUCAUCAUCAUGAACAGAUCAAACCUCCACAGACUGCUCCACACUCGAUCCAAUCUUCCACAUCAUAUACGGUCCAAACCAUGUACGGUUACACUUCCUCUCUCUCUCCCCUCUGCCUCCGACGCCACCGCUACUGCCACUGUGACUACCGCGCAGCCGCCAUCACCUCCGUUACCGCCCUCUCUCUCUCUCUCUCUCUCUCUCGCUCAGAAACCCAUUCGAUUUGAAGCUCAGAAACCCUCACUCUCAAUCGAUUGCUCAGAUUUGUACUGCGAAGAAAGUCCUCUACUCCUUGGGAAUGUUGGUAUGGGUUCUAGACUAUGCACUUAUUAUCAGAAAUCUACCCCAGGCGACCAAACUGGGAACUUGUUGCGUAAUGGAAACACAGUUUGCGGAGUGUCCUCAUACUUGAUCCUGCUGAUAAAUCUCCUUUCCUUGGAGAUAUAAAAGCAGGCUGCAGCCAAUCAUGUCUUGAAACUAACAUGUAUAGGGCUCCUAUAUUUCCUCAUAAGGUGUCAUCAACGGACUAUUUGUUGGUUCGUUCUGCAAAGGGAAAGCUUUCAAUAAGACAGAUUGACAGGCUUGAUGUUGUUGGACAACAGGUAACAUUGGUAUUUUUUUGGGGCUUAAUUUACUGAAACUUGCUUUUUUUUUUUUUUUGAACGGCACCUAACUAUUUAAAGAAUGCUUUUUGAUGAUUUUCUUAUUACUCAUCCAAUCAUUGCCGAUGAUGCAAUUUUUUGCUUAUGUUGAUCCUCCCUGUUUGUUUAGAUCUUCUUGACCUGGGAAUUAUAAAGUGUAAUUACUUUUGUUUUGUUUUAUGUGCACACUAGUUUUUCUCUCCUUGUACUAUAUUUGCAUGUGAAUGCAGUAUCAGGUGCAGGGGACUUCUUGAAUUAUUAUGUCUAGGCAUUUGGUGUCCUUUGAAUGGAAGGACUGCAUUAUUAUUAUUAUUAUUUUUAUUUUUAUUUUUUUGAGACGGCACCACAUAGCCGUUGCAAACGCGACAGGUAUUUUUUUGAGACAACUUUUUGCGACGGUACUCUUUGCCGUCGCCAAUACUCUUUAGCGACGGCGCAUCAUGCUGUCUCAAAUAUUUUUUAACAACAGCAGGUCUCCCGUCGCAAUAAAAAUUCUUUAGCGACGGUAUUUUUUGCUGUCGCAAAUAACAUCUUUAGCGACGGCAACAUAGUGCCGUCUCAAAAAAUUUAAGAUUUUUUCAUAUUAAAGGCGACGGAAAAAUGCUGUCGCAAAAAGGCAACUUUGCCGUCGCAAAAAAAAGGCAACGGUAACGUGCCGUUGUAAAACCUUUUUGCAACCCCCUACUUGUCGUCGCUAAAAGUCAUUUGCCGUCGCAAAAAUCCUUUUGAGACGGCAUUUUGAGUAUUUGUGACGGUGUUUUGCCGUCGCAAAAAGUCAAAUUUUUUGUAGUGUGCUUCAUGAUUGGGAGAGUUUCAUGAGGAUUAGUGUUGCCGAUCAAAUAUUUUAUUGUUUCCUUCUGAAUAAUACUUUACAUGAUGAAUUUAUAACCAAACUGGCCUGUAUUCUUUUAAUUUAAUUGAUCAACUGAAAUAAGGAAGAACACACGGUUGCCUUUUUUAUUGGCUUGCUCAUAAUUUUGAGAUGUGAUUUCAUGUA